AUUGAACGCUGGCGGCAGGCCUAACACAUGCAAGUCGAGCGGAUGAAGGGAGCUUGCUCCUGGAUUCAGCGGCGGACGGGUGAGUAAUGCCUAGGAAUCUGCCUGGUAGUGGGGCAUAACGUCCGGAAACGGGCGCUAAUACCGCAUACGUCCUGAGGGAGAAAGUGGGGGAUCUUCGGACCUCACGCUAUCAGAUGAGCCUAGGUCGGAUUAGCUAGUUGGUGGGGUAAAGGCCUACCAAGGCGACGAUCCGUAACUGGUCUGAGAGGAUGAUCAGUCACACUGGAACUGAGACACGGUCCAGACUCCUACGGGAGGCAGCAGUGGGAAAUAUUGGACCAUGGGCGAAAGCCUGAUCCAGCCAUGCCGCGUGUGUGAAGAAGGUCUUCGGAUUGUAAAGCACUUUAAGUUGGGAGGAAGGGCAGUAAGUUAAUACCUUGCUGUUUUGACGUUACCAACAGAAUAAGCACCGGCUAACUUCGUG
rnacentral:rRNA from 1 species